AAUGAACGCUGGCGGCGCGCCUAAUACAUGCAAGUCGAGCGAGAAGACGUAGCAAUACGUUUGUAAAGCGGCGAACGGGUGAGGAAUACAUGGGUAACCUACCCUAGAGUGGGGAAUAACUAGCCGAAAGGUUAGCUAAUACCGCGUACGCUCCUUGGACUUCGGUUCAGGGAGGAAAGCGAUGCCGAGGGUAUCGCGCUCUUGGAUGGGCUCAUGUCCUAUCAGCUUGUUGGNGAGGUAACGGCUCACCAAGGCUUCGACGGGUAGCUGGUCUGAGAGGACGAUCAGCCACACUGGCACUGCGACACGGGCCAGACUCCUACGGGAGGCAGCAGUAAGGAAUAUUGCGCAAUGGGGCGAAAGCCUGACGCAGCGACGCCGCGUGGGGGGA
rnacentral:rRNA from 1 species